CGAGUUAUCUGAACCUUCGGGGAACGAUAACGGCGUCGAGCGGCGGACGGGUGAGUAAUGCCUAGGAAAUUGCCCUGAUGUGGGGGAUAACCAUUGGAAACGAUGGCUAAUACCGCAUAAUGCCUACGGGCCAAAGAGGGGGACCUUCGGGCCUCUCGCGUCAGGAUAUGCCUAGGUGGGAUUAGCUAGUUGGUGAGGUAAUGGCUCACCAAGGCGACGAUCCCUAGCUGGUCUGAGAGGAUGAUCAGCCACACUGGAACUGAGACACGGUCCAGACUCCUACGGGAGGCAGCAGUGGGGAAUAUUGCACAAUGGGCGCAAGCCUGAUGCAGCCAUGCCGCGUGUGUGAAGAAGGCCUUCGGGUUGUAAAGCACUUUCAGUCGUGAGGAAGGUGGUGUAGUUAAUAGCUGCAUUAUUUGACGUUAGCGACAGAAGAAGCACCGGCUAACUCCGUGCCAGCAGCCGCGGUAAUACGGAGGGUGCGAGCGUUAAUCGGAAUUACUGGGCGUAAAGCGCAUGCAGGUGGUUUGUUAAGUCAGAUGUGAAAGCCCGGGGCUCAACCUCGGAAUAGCAUUUGAAACUGGCAGACUAGAGUACUGUAGAGGGGGGUAGAAUUUCAGGUGUAGCGGUGAAAUGCGUAGAGAUCUGAAGGAAUACCGGUGGCGAAGGCGGCCCCCUGGACAGAUACUGACACUCAGAUGCGAAAGCGUGGGGAGCAAACAGGAUUAGAUACCCUGGUAGUCCACGCCGUAAACGAUGUCUACUUGGAGGUUGUGGCCUUGAGCCGUGGCUUUCGGAGCUAACGCGUUAAGUAGACCGCCUGGGGAGUACGGUCGCAAGAUUAAAACUCAAAUGAAUUGACGGGGGCCCGCACAAGCGGUGGAGCAUGUGGUUUAAUUCGAUGCAACGCGAAGAACCUUACCUACUCUUGACAUCCAGAGAACUUUCCAGAGAUGGAUUGGUGCCUUCGGGAACUCUGAGACAGGUGCUGCAUGGCUGUCGUCAGCUCGUGUUGUGAAAUGUUGGGUUAAGUCCCGCAACGAGCGCAACCCUUAUCCUUGUUUGCCAGCGAGUAAUGUCGGGAACUCCAGGGAGACUGCCGGUGAUAAACCGGAGGAAGGUGGGGACGACGUCAAGUCAUCAUGGCCCUUACGAGUAGGGCUACACACGUGCUACAAUGGCGCAUACAGAGGGCAGCAAGCUAGCGAUAGUGAGCGAAUCCCAAAAAGUGCGUCGUAGUCCGGAUUGGAGUCUGCAACUCGACUCCAUGAAGUCGGAAUCGCUAGUAAUCGUGGAUCAGAAUGCCACGGUGAAUACGUUCCCGGGCCUUGUACACACCGCCCGUCACACCAUGGGAGUGGGCUGCAAAAGAAGUAGGUAG
rnacentral:rRNA from 4 species